AGUUCCUACUCACCCUCUCAGUUACCCAGGUAGAUCCUACUCACCCUCUCAGUUACCCAGGUAGUUCCUACUCACCCUCAGUUACCCAGGUAGAUCCUACUCACCCUCUCAGUUACCCAGGUAGAUCCUACUCAGCCUCUCAGUUACCCAGGUAGAUCCUACUCACCCUCUCUGUUACCCAGGUAGAUCCUACUCACCCUCUCAGUUACCCAGGUAGAUCCUACUCACCCUCUCAGUUACCCAGGUAGUUCCUACUCACCUUCUGUUACCCAGGUAGAUCCUACUCACCCUCAGUUACCCAGGUAGUUCCUACUCACCCUCAGUUACCCAGGUAGUUCCUACUCACCCUCAGUUACCCAGGUAGAUCCUACUCACCCUCUCUGUUACCCAGGUAGUUCCUACUCACCCUCUCAGUUACCCAGGUAGAUCCUACUCACCCUCUCAGUUACCCAGGUAGAUCCUGCUCACCCUCUGUUACCCAGGUAGUUCCUACUCACCCUCUCAGUUACCCAGCUAGAUCCUACUCACCCUCUGUUACCCAAGUAGUUCCUACUCACCCUCUCAGUUACCCAGGUAGUUCCCACUCACCCUCUCAGUUACCCAGGUAGAUCCUACUCACCCUCUCAGUUACCCAGGUAGCUUGUGAAUGAAGUUUCUCUACCUUAAAGUAUAUCAAGAGCAGGGGCUGGUAGUGAUGUAGCUAGGUGGUUGUAUUAGGGGUAGUGAUGUAGCUAGGUGGUUGUAUUAGGGGUAGUGAUGUAGCUAGGUGGUUAUAUUAGGGGUUGUGAUGUAGCUAGGUGGUUAUAUUAGGGGUUGUGGUGUAGCUAGGUGGUUAUAUUAGGGGUUGUGGUGUAGCUAGGUAGUUGUAUUAGGGGCUGGUUGUGAUGUAGCUAGGUGGUUGUAUUAGGGGUUGUGGUGUAGCUAGGUGGUUGUAUUAGGGGUUGUGAUGUAGCUAGGUGGUUGUAUUAGGGGUUGUGAUGUAGCUAGGUGGUUGUAUUAGGGGUUGUGAUGUAGCUAGGUGGUUGUAUUAGGGGUUGUGAUGUAGCUAGGUGGUUGUAUUAGGGGUUGUGAUGUAGCUAGGUGGUUGUAUUAGG
rnacentral:lncRNA from 1 species